UACGUAGGUGACAAGCGUUGUCCGGAUUUACUGGGCGUAAAGAGCGCGCAGGCGGUCGUUCAAGUCGAGUGUGAAAGCCCCCGGCUCAACUGGGGAGGGUCAUUCGAUACUGAUCGACUCGAAGGCAGGAGAGGGAAGUGGAAUUCCCGGUGUAGUGGUGAAAUGCGUAGAUAUCGUAAGGAAGACCAGUGGCGAAGGCGGGUCUCUGGACAGUUCCUGACGCUGAGGCACGAAGGCCAGGGGAGCAAACGGG
rnacentral:rRNA from 1 species